UCUUGUCUAAGACUGGGCUCACAAACUUCUGAACAGACACAGAGAAAUGGGUGGACUGCACUGGAAUUAACAAAUCACAGAUGUGCAGAAGAAAUUACUCAGUUCUGCCGGUAAUACAAACACAUAGCAGGAAUAGACAAGACAGAACAGUGAGGGUGAGGAAGAGACGGCGAUGAAGGCUGGACGUGUCCAAACCAAGAUAACUGGGCUCAGGGCGCCUGUAAUGGAAUUAACAUACUCAAAACCCAAUAACGGAGAAUCCAGGCAGCAUCAGAUUACCUUCAUGAGUCAUAAUGCGGAGCUGCUUUUGUGGUGGUUUGAUUCACAGAUUCAUUCAAAUCAUUUUCCAAGAGAAACACGCAUUGGAAACUUGCAUGAGUUGUGUGUCUGAAGAAGAAAAUCUGUCUUCCGGCCAAGGAGUGGACACGUUCCACAGAUGUUUCAGCUUCAGUUUCUGCUGGUCAGAAAAUGUUCUUCAGAGA